GUAUUAAAUGCGUUUAUAGCAAAGAUUACAUUCUAGACUUUAUGUGUGUAUAAAAACGUAAUCCCCCCCCUUCCCGCUAGAUGCAUCCAGCCGUGAAGCCUUCAAACAUCCAUUAGAAAAAGAAAAAGAGACUACAAGUGUGCACAGGGGUGAGUGGAUGAGCAUCAGGUGUGCACAUGUCCCGGAGGACCAGCGACAACCCAAGUCAGAACUCGUUAAUGAUCCUUCCGCAGGUUCACCUACGGAAA
rnacentral:misc_RNA from 1 species